AGUAGCGCAGCGAUGUGUUAUCUGCCGACAGCACAAUGCAAGACAGGGUCCAGCCGUUCUGCCAGGUAUACAGACAUAUGGAGCAGCCCCCUUUGAAGAUCUCCAAGUGAACUUCACAGAAAUGCCAAAGCGUGGAGGUGAUUGAGUGUGGAUCAAAGAUUGGAACACAUCCCCCUUGCGACCACGGUGGAAAGGAGCCCAGACCAUCAUCUUGACCACCCCCCCACAGCUGUAAAGGUAGAAGGAAUCCCAGCCUGGAUCCACCAUAGCUGAAUAAAACCUGCAGCCUCUGAAACCUGGGAGGGACCACUGCAAUUUAGGGAUGUGGCCACAGAAUUCUCUCUGGAGGAGUGGCAUUGCCUGGACACUGCACAGUGGAAUUUAUAUAGGGAUGUGAUUUUAGAGAACCACAGAAACCUGGUCUUCCUUGAGUUUCAGAUCCACUUUUUCCAGAAAAUCUUCAGAAUUUGUUCAUUUAGAAAAGAAUUUCUUCAAGAUGUUUCAUCUUAAUCCAGACUUUCCACAUUCCUGAGUUGAGCUGUAUUCUUCACUCUAAAUUAGUGGUAAUUCCAGAAACUUAGUGGCAUAAAAUAUUGUUGCCCCACCUGAAAAUCUAAUUGCCACCACCAAUUUUUGAUUCAGUAGUACCAGAUAGUAAAAUUAAGAAACCGGCAUAUUGAAAGUAUUCUUCCUUCCUUUUUUUUUCUUUCUUUCUCUUUUUCUUUCUUUCUU